CCCCCAUCGUGUUCCUGUCUUCCAACUUACAUUGGUGGGCCGCCGAGUUGUAGGCCAGAAUGUACAAUUAGUUCCGAGUGUCGAAGCAAUCAAGCCUGUAUUAGAGAAAAAUGUCAGGAUCCUUGCCCUGGACUUUGUGGAAUAUCGGCUCAAUGUACUGUAAUCAAUCAUACACCAAUCUGCACUUGUCUGGAUGGUUAUCAGGGUGAUGCGUUUACCAGUUGUCAACUCAUUCCGCCUCAACAAGUACCACUCCAAGAAGACCCUUGCAAUCCUAAUCCUUGUGGAUCGAAUGCAGUGUGCAACAAUGGCGUUUGCUCUUGUA